rnacentral:tmRNA from 1 species
GGGGGCGAUCUUGGUUUCGACGGGGGUUGCAAAGCAAAUACGGGCAUACCGAGCUUUCAGUUACUCGUAAAACACUGAUUUUAAAAUAGUCGCAAACGACGAAACUUUUGCUCUAGCUGCUUAAUGCUAGGCUGUUGCAGCAGUUGGUCAAUGGGCUGUGUGGGAUAACUCACUGCAACAUCAUUUUACAUUGACUGGUUUAUCAUCGGGUUGCUUGGUGAUAAAUAAGAUUUUAGGCAACUGGUUUUCCAACGGCCUGUCUGUCGGCAUGCGGAAAAUGAGAUAUUUAAAUUGACAAGACUAAGUAUGUAGAACGUUUUGUAGAGGACUUUCGGACGGGGGUUCAAUUCCCCCCGCCUCCACCA